UACGUAGGGGGCCAGCGUUGCUCGGAAUUACUGGGCGUAAAGGGUUCGUAGGUGGUGCGGCAAGUUGGGAGUGAAAUCUCUGGGCUUAACUCAGAGGCUGCUUUCAAAACUGCCGCGCUCGAGUGCGAGAGAGGUCAGUGGAAUUGCAGGUGUAGCGGUGAAAUGCGUAGAUAUCUGCAGGAACACCCGUGGCGAAGGCGGCUGACUGGAUCGCAACUGACGCUGAGGAACGAAAGCUAGGGGAGCAAACAGG
rnacentral:rRNA from 1 species